GUUGAUUUCAGAUAAUAUUCUUAUAAAUCAUGAAGUGAUGCAUUCAUUGAAGAUUCGCAGAAGAGGGAAGUCUUAUGGGAUGGCAUUGAAAUUGGAUGUUAGUAAAGCUUAUGAUUGUGUUGAAUGGGGUUUUUUAAGACAUAUGAUGGUUUGCUUUGGGUUUCAUGAGAAAUGGGUCAAAUGGAUAAUGGCGUGUGUCACUACAGUCACAUAUUCUAUCCAAAUUAAUGGUCACAGGUCUGGCUAUAUCAAUCCGUCUAGAGGUCUCAGACAGGGAGACCCUCUCUCCCCUUUUU
rnacentral:misc_RNA from 1 species